rnacentral:rRNA from 1 species
GACGGAGGAUGCAAGUGUUAUCCGGAAUCACUGGGCGUAAAGCGUCUGUAGGUGGUUUAAUAAGUCAACUGUUAAAUCUUGAGGCUCAACCUCAAAAUCGCAGUCGAAACUAUUAGGCUAGAGUAUAGUAGGGGUAAAGGGAAUUUCCAGUGGAGCGGUGAAAUGCGUAGAGAUUGGAAAGAACACCGAUGGCGAAGGCACUUUACUGGGCUAUUACUAACACUCAGAGACGAAAGCUAAGGGUAGCAAAUGGG